GACGAACCGUGCGAACGUUGUUCGGAAUCACUGGGCUUAAAGGGCGCGUAGGCGGGUUGUCAAGUCAGGGGUGAAAUCUUUCGGCUUAACCGGAAAAGAGCCUUUGAUACUGGCAGUCUGGAGGGGGGUAGGGGCACGUGGAACUUCCGGUGGAGCGGUGAAAUGCGUUGAUAUCGGAAGGAACUCCGGUGGCGAAAGCGACGUGCUGGACCCUUACUGACGCUGAGGCGCGAAAGCCAGGGGAGCGAACGG
rnacentral:rRNA from 1 species